GUACUCUCUUCAAUAGCACAUAUACUAAAGUUGGAACAAAACAGGAAUGACUAGCAUGGCCCUGCACAGGGAUGGUAUACAAAUUCGUGAAGGAUUCUGUAUUUUA
ensembl:snRNA U6 U6 spliceosomal RNA